rnacentral:rRNA from 1 species
GAUGAACGCUGGCGGCGUGCCUAAUACAUGCAAGUCGAGCGAACAGACGAGGAGCUUGCUCCUCUGACGUUAGCGGCGGACGGGUGAGUAACACGUGGAUAACCUACCUAUAAGACUGGGAUAACUUCGGGAAACCGGAGCUAAUACCGGAUAAUAUAUUGAACCGCAUGGUUCAAUAGUGAAAGACGGUUUUGCUGUCACUUAUAGAUGGAUCCGCGCCGCAUUAGCUAGUUGGUAAGGUAACGGCUUACCAAGGCGACGAUGCGUAGCCGACCUGAGAGGGUGAUCGGCAACACUGGAACUGAGACACGGUCCAGACUCCUACGGGAGGCAGCAGUAGGGAAUCUUCCGCAAUGGGCGAAAGCCUGACGGAGCAACGCCGCGUGAGUGAUGAAGGUCCUCGGAUCGUAAAACUCUGUUAUUAGGGAAGAACAAAUGUGUAAGUAACUAUGCACGUCUUGACGGUACCUAAUCAGAAAGCCACGGCUAACUACGUG